AAACACAGAAAUGGACUUAAAAACUCAGUAUAAACUACUAUAUCAAAAAAUUAUUGAUAACGUUUUAAUUCAAAUAGAUUCCCGAUAUCGAUCAUUGAAUAAACUCACUUUCUUGGAUUUAUUAAACAAACACAAAUACACCCAAUAUUGCAGAUUAUUCCCCGAUGAAAAAAUAUCCGAUUUAAUGAACAAGUUUCCAAAUGUUUUCAAUUUCACGGCCUUAAAAAAUGAAUUAAAUGUUAUGUACACCUCGCCAAGUCUAAAUACAUUAGACGCGUACGAACUUUAUUUGUACCUCCACAAUUCAUCCUUGAGGGACAUAUUCUCGCAACUUUUAACUUUGUGUCACAUUUUUUUGACUCUUCCCGUAUCGGUUGUAUCCGCGGAAAGAUCGUUUUCGGCCUUGAAGCGCAUUCAUACCUACACGCGAAAUUGUCAAAAAGAAGAAAGAUUGUCAAAGUUGGCCAUAAUUUCAAUAGAAAAACAUUUACUGCUAAAAAUUCAAAAACGUCACGAAUUUUACGAUAGUGUUUUGGCUCAUUUUGUUCAAAAAGACCGCAGAAUUAUGUUACAAUACAAAUAGACUGUUAUUUAAAGCCUAAAUCAGAAAUUAUCAUUUAAAAAAAUCAAUCAGCUUUCAACCUAUUUUCAGUUUAGGUAAAUGCAUGUUUUUUUAAAUAAAUAUUUAGCGUUAGCAAGAGGUGUUGAGACUGUUAAGUCUAAUACGGCUCGAACACACGGACGCGGAUCCGCGCGCCGUGGCGUGGCGUUGUGCAAACGAGACAUCGCUAUGUAAUGACCAUAGCGCUGUCUCGCUCGCAAAGCUUUACGGCAGGUUGCUGGUUUCGGUUUAAUAAUGUGCAAGAUAGUUUUUAAUUGGUGUUUUUUAGCUGGUGAUUUAAGCUUUGCUUUACUGAUUUGGUCAUUUCUUAUUUCAUUAAAACGUGUAAUCCUUGUGUUUUUUAAAUAACGCGUGGAACGUGCAGGGAUUAACAAAACCUAAAAGUAGUUUUGAUGAUAUUUGCAGGUUUAGUAAACGCACGUUUUUCUAAAUAGGUGUUUAGGUUUUGAAAGACGUGUUGAGUCUAUUAGAGCAGGUUUCGGUUUAAUAAUUCAAUAAUAGGUUUUAAUUGACGUGUUUUAACUUGGUGAUUUUGUUUCACUUAUAUGGUCAUAUUUUAAUUAAUUUACAUGUGUAAUGUUUGUAUUUUUUAACCAACGUGUGUGCUGCUGAUUCACCGUUUUUUUUGUAAAUAAGCAAGUUGCGUUUGCAAGAGGUGUUGUCUAUUAGAGCAGGUCGUUGGUUUCGGUUUAAUGAUGUGCAUGAUAGCUUUUUAAGUAAUGAUUUUUACUCGGUAUUUUAAGUUUCACUGGUUUGGUGUUUUUUUAUUUAAUUAACAUUUGUUAUGCUUGUGUUUUUUUUAAACUAACGUGUGUUACGUGCUGGGAUGUGAAUGCUGUUCAAAAGGCUUUUUUCAAAGCCGUUUUGUCAUACUCCAUAUACACUGUUUACGUGAAGUCAGUGAUGACUAGUAUGGCAAAGGUGGUUUAUGCACUAACUGCAAAAGGUCGCGCCCAAGGACACACAUAGCGCACGCUUCACUUUUAUCACGGAAAAAUAAGUACAUAAUGUCAAGGUAAGUGUUUUUUUUUUGGUCCGAGUUGCCUAGCCAAAAUUUCCACGCGCCGCUACUGAUAUACACAUACAUUGUUAAUUGGUAAGUAGAAAUACAACUAAUAACUCAUUGUACAGUCAGUAUUAUAUAGAUAGUGAAAGUCAAUACCUCCAAAUAUACAGCUACAUCCAACAUAUCAAUUAAUACUGAACCAUCCAAAGUGAUCAGAUUGUGCAGGUAUCCAACAAACAAAUUUUGGAUGUAGCGGUAUAUUUGGAGGUAUUGACUGACACUAACUAUACGAUGCUGACUGUAACAUUUACCAUAUCAUAACAUUUAGAAAAGAAUGAAACUGUAUUAUUACUUUUGUUUUCAGCCGUAUAACCUACGAAGAAUACAAUGUGUUAGCGGCCAAAAUAAUAACACUGUUUCCUAAAGAGUCAAUAGGCACAUAUUUUACAAAGCCUAUAAAAAAAAUAGAUUCCAUAAAUGGACGUUCUACAGGAGCCAAAGGAAAAUUAGUCGACAAGGUUCGCAACCUCUUGUAUAAGUAUGGCGAUCGCAAGAGAUCAGCCAGCGAGUCGGAGAGUACUCCACCGCCAAAGAAAAGUUGUGAUGACUUAAAGGAUUUACACUCCAGGGAUAUAUUGUGGUUGAAUAACAACUCAGAACCUUGGGAAGAGGUAAUAAUUAAAUGGAAGGCCACAUAUAAUCUAAGAAAGGAAGGUGAACAGAAAAAUAUUCAUGAGUUUUUACGAGACUGGAAAAUCUUGUCGGACCCUAGAAGUGAAAUAUUGUAUACAAUUUGUCAAAAGGUCCCUGGCAUACUAGCUUAUGUCGACGAAGUAAAGCAUUCGUCCCUUUCGCACUUGCAUACUUGCUAGAAAGUGGCGAAUGUUUUACGUCAUCGAUAAAAGCUAGUGUGCUAUUAGGUCUUGUGUUGUUAUAAGUUCAUUGUACUGCAGUCUGCAAAUAAACCCUACUUUACUCUUAAUAUCAUUACUCUCGACUCCUAAACACUAUAUGAAUAUAUCAUUGAAUACAAGGAUCUAGCACAAAAAAAAUUAAUCGUGUCAGAUCGUGGUUUAGACCGAAUUCGAACAGUGAAUGGUGCUGGUUGCAAAACCGUGAGCCAUACUGAAAACCAUGAUCUGCCAAAAUUUAAUUUCACUUUGUACUGUUGUGUUUGUUCUUAAAUGAAUAAAACAAUAUUAUAAUUAAUGA